rnacentral:tRNA from 1 species
GGAGGGAUGGCGGAGUGGUCAAUCGCAGCAGACUGUAAAUCUGCCGGGCUCAGCCCUACGUUGGUUCAAAUCCAGCUCCCUCCACCA